rnacentral:rRNA from 1 species
CGGUCACGGAUGUUUGGUUUCCCAGGAGAAGUCACGCGUGCGUGCGUUCGUUGGGUUUCGGGACUGCGGCUCCUAUCCUAAAACGAGGAGGGGGUUUAGGGAGGCCGGUACCGGAGGAAGGGCGACCGUAGGCGGCGGGCAAGGGAGGGGUGGUAUCGCAGGGUGGAGGGCCGUCGGCGCUGGUGGGCGUCGCAGAGGUAGGGCCGGAGGGGGCAGGGGCGCCGCUUCUUGCGGCGGAGGACGUCGGAGUCGUGGUCCUCGGCGGCGUCCGGUCGGCAAGCUGCCUUGCGGCGCCUCUGGAUGCACGGUCCGAGGCCGUUCAUGUAGCGCGGCCUGAUGGAGCACUUCUUCCACAGCCGGUCCCUCGACCUCCUCGAGCAGUCCCCCCUCGCCUUCCACGGCGAGUAGCACCUAAAGAUGCGAUGGACCACGCCCGGCACGCACGAGUACCGCGUCCUGCAGCUCUGCGAGCGCCAGCUCAUGCUCCUGUCGCGGAACAAACAGUUCCACCUGUGCCUGCUCCUCAUGCUCAAGCGCUCCCUAUACGUCCAUGCCCCUGACGGGUGCGACAUAAAGAAGUCGGGCCUAGUCCCGUUCCUGCGGCAAUCCUGGCUCCCCGACUAAGGAUAACUUUACCAGUCCUUGUAGUAGCUUUUGCUCGACACUCAAAACAGACCCGUUGCAUCACAGACAUCAUCGAUGUAAUAAAUCGACUCAGAACAUCAUCACUAAUCAUAAAGAAAUCCACGUCGGACGCCACCAACUAAGCUCGAAACACAACGACAAGCCGGCGUCCAAGCGCAUACGUUCUAGACGUACUCGUCUUACAUCGUAGUCCCAAACUCGGACUCUGAUUGUUUAACCAAGAGAUAACGUGAUAAGAACACACGAAACAGUAACUCUCGUACUAACCGAACGACGGUUAUAAACCGAUCGGAACGUGGCAGCCGCCAACACGACUAUCCAAGUAGAGCAGAGAUAAAGGACCACCAAUUUGUCAGUCAGUGCAGAGGGUAAUGGACACAAUACACGUAAAAGGUCAAGCAACCGCCAACAAGAUACGCCUAAACCAACCAAAUAUACGAAACGUGCGCUACAUAAACAACAAGAAGGUUUACACCUAUGCCACCACAACAUCAAGUAUUUGCACACUACGACGUACAUGAACUACCUAUUUGUACCAACGAUCCAAGAGACGACCGGAAACAAUUACCUACGGAGUAGAAGACCCACUAGCACCAGCCACCACGUAACGGUGCCGGCUCAGAACCGAGCAGAACGAGAUAAGAUCACACCCGACGAAGAAAGGACGAAGACGGAGG